rnacentral:pre_miRNA from 1 species
UUAACCCAUUUAACAACUCAAUUCAUCAAAUUAAAUGAGUUAUGGGUUGACCCAACUCAUUUUGUUAAAUGGGUUGGGUCAACCCAUAACUCAUUUAACCCUAAACUCAUUUGAUUAUGAGU